GAAUUUUUUUCAUCAUAACGGAGGAAAGAAACCAACAGGGAUUGCCCCAGUAACGGCGAGUGAAGCGGCAACAGCUCAAAUUUGAAAUCUGGCCCCCUCGGGGCCCGAGUUGUAAUUUGCAGAGGGAGCUUUUGGCGUCGGUCGUGGUCUAAGUUCCUUGGAACAGGACGUCACAGAGGGUGAGAAUCCCGUACGUGGCCGCCGGCCUUCGCCUUGUAAAGCCCCUUCGACGAGUCGAGUUGUUUGGGAAUGCAGCUCUAAAUGGGAGGUAAAUUCCUUCUAAAGCUAAAUACCCGCCAGAGACCGAUAGCGCACAAGUAGAGUGAUCGAAAGAUGAAAAGCACUUUGGAAAGAGAGUGAAAAAGCACGUGAAAUUGUUGAAAGGGAAGCGCUUGCGGCUAGACGUGCCCGCGGUUGAUCAUCCAGGCUCCGGCCUGGUGCACUCCUCCGCGGGCAGGCCAGCAUCAGUUCGGGCGGUCGGAUAAAGGCCUCUGUCACGUACCACCCCUCGGGGUGGCCUUAUAGGGGAGGCGCAACACGGCCAGCCCGGACUGAGGUUCCGCGCAUCUGCUAGGAUGCUGGCGUAAUAGCAGCAAGCGGCCCGUCUUGAAACACGGACCAAGGAGUCUAACAUCUAUGCGAGUGUUUGGGUGUCAAGCCCGAGCGCGCAAUGAAAGUGAACGGAGGUGGGAACCCUCACGGGUGCACCAUCGACCGAUCCUGAUGUCUUCGGAUGGAUUUGAGUAAGAGCAUAGCUGUUGGGACCCGAAAGAUGGUGAACUAUGCCUGAAUAGGGUGAAGCCAGAGGAAACUCUGGUGGAGGCUCGCAGCGGUUCUGACGUGCAAAUCGAUCGUCAAAUUUGGGCAUAGGGGCGAAAGACUAAUCGAUCCAUCAUAGGUUU
rnacentral:rRNA from 1 species